UCGCCGCCGUGAAUAUUCCAGAAAACCCUAAUUCCCAAAACCCCUGGUCUAUAUAAGAAACACCACCAUUGUUCACCCAAAUCAUCCAAACCAUUCCCGUUGGUCUUUAACGGUAACAUUUUUAAGUUCAUUGCAUCAGUUUGUAUUUUAUUUUUGUUGAACGAAUAAGAAUGGAGGUUAGCUGUAUCGAUGAUGAAAGAUGAAAGGCUUGUUUCUCAUGAACAUUCGCAGUGGCCGCCUGAUUGAACUUUCGCCUUCGCCAGGCUUGAGAGUUCAUGUUGCUCUUUCCUUCCUUCCUUGGAUGUCUGAGAUCCUCCUCUUUUUUUCUUUUCUUUUUUUUAUUUUUAUUUGUUUUGAUGUCUAUAAGAAACUGGUGAUGAUAAUGUUAAGGCUUGUUUCUCAGAAACAUUCGCAGUGGCCGACUAAGAGCUUUCGCCUUCGCCAGGCUCGAGAGCUUGUGCUGUCUUGCUCCUUCCUUCCUUGGAUGUCUGAAGUUUCAAUAUUAUACAUAAAUUAUUUAUUUAUUUAUUUAUUUAUGGAGAUUUAGUGUGGGUUUCUCAAUGAUGAUUUCAAUAGAUGACGAGUCUGAUGUAAUAUCCAUUCCAUUCAAUUAUGAAGACGAAUCGAGGCAUUUGUCUGAGAGCCAACCCAUCUAUACUGAGUCCUUUGUUUUUAAAAAAAAAAUGGCCGAUGAUAAAAUUCAAAUUAAUGACAAGCAUAUGUCUGAAUAAAUAAAUAAAUGUUGUUAAUCUUCUCCAUGAGGCCACAUUCAUUUUGAAACCGAUGAGGAUUAGAUUUGUGUUACAACAAUUUUACUGCCUUCCUUCCUUCUAAGUGAAAGCUGUGAUGCAGGUUUGACAAGAGAAAGGUCACAACUUCAUGAGAAAAUCAACUCUUGUUUGUAUAGCUAGUCGUUACCAUUUUUAACGGCUUGUUUCUCAGAGACAUUUGCAGUGGCCAAACCAAAAGCUUAGGCCUUCGCCAGGCUUGAGAGCUUGUGCUGUUUUACUCCUUGGAUGUCUGAAGUUUCAUGUAUUUGUUUUUCUUUUUAUGAACGGCCAACAAAGCAAUUUUAUUACGAAAAAAGUGGCACACUAACAAACAAAUUGGACGGCCAGAAAUGUACAAGCAAUGCAAUCGGCACAACACCUAAUUACAUAUUUCGAACAAUAGCCACCUCUCCCAUGUUAGCUAGUUUUAGAAUGAUUUUUAUCCAUAAAAAGGUCAGCGUCUUGAUGUCAUCCCUCAGCCUC